rnacentral:lncRNA from 1 species
GCCGCAGCCGAGUUUCCCCCACCGUCCUCCGCAGCCGAGUUAUAUGCCACCGUCCUGCGCAGCCGAGUUUCCGCCACCAUCCGGCGACAUCUCGACCUCCCACCAUACUAUUUGCACCCUCUCUCCGUCCUCUACCCUAACCCAGUUUUGGUCCUCUCUAGUUUGAAUUGAAUAAGGACAGUUCGUCGGACUUUGCUUUUCCGACGAGCUUCCUCGUCUCCGGUCACCUGCUAUUCACCCUUGGUAAUCCUUCUCUUCCUUUUCCUUUUCUAUCGAUUUCUUCAUCUUUCUUCUGAAAUCAAAGUCGAUUUCCUAAUUUUCCUUUGUAAAUCUGGUCUAGCUUUCUAUUGGUUUUUGUUUUGUUAAUUUAGAGUGUUGAAUAUAAUUUAAAUGUGAUUUCGGCUUGGUGUUAGGUUGGAUGGGUUUCUAAAUGUUGAUGGUGGGUAUGCAAUUUGGUCUCCUUCGAGGUCGAAUUCGCAGAAGAAUGCGACCACUGACUAAUCCUUCCUCUCGACAUCCGUUGAGUUUACCAGGAGAUCUACCAACCAAUCCUUCCUCUCAACCUCCUGUCCACCUUUAUAAAACUCUCUGGGUUCUUUCUGUGUCAGAUUUCAUUUUAGUUACUGUUCAUUUGACUGGGUUUUCAUUCACAUCUCUAUAUAUAUUGUUAGUUUUAGGUUGGGUUUGAAUACGUUAGGGUUCUAGUAUGUUUUGCAGAUCGAAAAAGGUAGGAGCUACAAGUUUAAGAGAUUUAGGUUUCUUUCUAUUGUGCCUUACUUCUGCCAAUAUAUAUCAGCAUUCAUAGUGGUUUACAUAGUAAUUGAAGUAGAAUGAAGUUGUUCCUUGGACAGUUAGUGCAGAACAUAUGAAAUAUGGGAAUGCUAAUUUAUCUUUUGGUGUCAGUUUUUGCUGAAACAUGAUAUGAGUUUUCGUACCUCUUUCACCAUAUACUGGUUUCAGGUAUAAAUUGCUCUCCUUUCUACAUGUUUUGAGUUUUUAUUGUAAUUUCUUUUUAUGGUUUUUCGUUCAUUCUUGGUUUAGUUUCAUGUCUUAUGCUUCAUGGGUUACAUAUUUACAUAGAGUUAGUUAUAAAUUUCCAUCUUUCCUUCACUUUUGCUUGUUGAACCCCUCAAAAACCCUUUAGCUGAUAUAAUUCCAUCUUCUAAAUUUCACACCAUUAAAAACACUGUAAAUAUGCUCUUUGCUAAAUUAAAGACGCACCUCCAACUCUUCUAAACCCCUCGAGAAACCCUCAAAUGUUGUUCAUAAAUUUUGGUUACUCUAGUGUUAAAUACAAAUAAGAAAAACUUCUGGACAGUUUAGGCACUUUGGAUAAGGGUUUCCAUAAGUCUGAAAUUGGGGUUACAACAAAGAUUAUGUGAACCUUAUAAUUGAACUGUCAGUAGGCUAUAAGAGGUUAGUACAAUGUGAAAUUCCAGGUUAGCACUUUGCAUGUUUUAUUGUGGAAAUAAAUUUUUUGAUUUUUUGUUUUAACUAAUUGGUUUCAGUUGUUGAGUACAAUCCGUAUCAGAUUAGGACAAUGGAGGAUUCAGUUCGGAUUUGGAAUUGAGCCAAACUUGUAGAGCUUAUUAGAUUGGUAAGGAGAAGGAUUCAGAUUCAGAGUCUGGUCUGUUUCGGUUGAUGUUGUACUGGAAUGUUGAUUUUUGACAAAGGGACUGUUUGCUAUGACCUUUAGGUGAAGCAACUUAAGAAGGAUCUUUCUACUGAGCUUUCGACUAGGGUUGAAUUUAAGGGAAGAUAGUCUUUUCUUUCUGUUGUGUUGUGUUCUGUUUUUAUCUUUGUUCAUUACUCUUUACUUGAGGAACAACCUGCUUCCAUGAGAGUGUCAUAGCUUGUAAUUGUUCUCCAUUUUCUAAUCAGCCUGUUAUUGUUAGCUUUGUCAAGGAACAAGAAGGUAGUUGCAUAACUGUUUUGCACUCUAAAUUCUAAUGUUGGAAGUUAAUGUUCCUAAAUGUUUACUCUAGAUGUUGAACUUACAUGUUUCUUUUGUUUCCCAUAUUUAUUCAUGAUGAAAAAUUUGGGCNNNNNNNNNNNNNNNNNNNNUUUACGU